AUGGGUAGGGGAGCUUCCCAUACGGGUUGAAGCAUGACCGUAAGGACAUGUGGACAGUAUGGGAGUGAGAAUGUUGGCAUGAGUAGCGAGAUGUGGGUGAGAAUCCCACAGGCCGUAAACCCAAGGUUUCCAGGGGAAGGUUCGUCCGCCCUGGGUUAGUCGGGACCUAAGCUGAGGCCGAAAGGCGUAGGUGAUGGACAACAGGUUGAUAUUCCUGUACUACCGAUAACCGUUUGAGAGAAGGGAUGACACAGUAGGAUAAGCUAAGCACACUGUUGGUUAUGUGUGCCCAAGCAUUGAGGCAGUCAAAGUAGGCAAAUCCGCUUUGAUAAUGCUGGGAUGUGAUGGGGAGCGAAAUUUAGUAGCGAAGUAGCUGAUUUCACACUGUCAAGAAAAGUCUCUAUCGAGGUUAAAGGUACCCGUACCGCAAACCGACACAGGUGGGUGAGGAGAGUAUCCUAAGGCCAGCGAGAGAACUGUUGUUAAGGAACUC
rnacentral:rRNA from 1 species